rnacentral:rRNA from 1 species
AGUGAACGCUGGCGGCAUGCCUAACACAUGCAAGUCGAACGGCAGCACAGUAACUUCUUGCUCUUACCGGUUGCGGAACGGGUGAGUAAGACGAAUGCAUCCGACCCUUCUUUUUGGUGGGGGCUAACGUAGGCGAAGUUACGCCAAAACCGCAUACCACCUAACAGUGAAAGCAUGUGAUCUUCCGAGCUUUCGCGAUUGCAUGAGCCGAUGUCGGAUUAGCUAGUUGGCGGGGUAAAGGCCCACCAAGGCGACGAUCCGUAGCUGGUCUGAGAGGAUGAUCAGCCACACUGGAACUGAGACACGGUCCAGACUCCUACGGGAGGCAGCAGUGGGGAAUAUUGGACAAUGGGCGCAAGCCUGAUCCAGCAAUACCGCGUGGGUGAAGAAGGCCUUCGGGUUGUAAAGCCCUUUUGUUGGGAAAGAAAAGCUGCAGGCUAAUACGGAGCGGGUCUGACGGUACCGGAAGAAUAAGCACCGGCUAACUACGUG